rnacentral:rRNA from 1 species
CUACGGGAUGCAGCAGUGGGGAAUAUUGGACAAUGGGGGCAACCCUGAUCCAGCAAUACCGCGUGUGUGAAGAAGGCCUGCGGGUUGUAAAGCACUUUCAAUUGUGAAGAAAAGCUUAAGGUUAAUACCCUUGAGUCUUGACGUUAACUUUAGAAGAAGCACCGGCUAACUCCGUGCCAGCAGCCGCGGUAAUACGGAGGGUGCGAGCGUUAAUCGGAAUUACUGGGCGUAAAGCGCGCGUAGGCGGUUUGUUAAGUCAGAUGUGAAAGCCCUGGGCUCAACCGGGGAACUGCAUUUGAUACUGACAAACUGGAGUAUGGUAGAGGGGAGUGGAAUUCCAGGUGUAGCGGUGAAAUGCGUAGAUAUCCGGAGGAACAUCAGUGGCGAAGGCGACUUCCUGGACCAAUACUGACGCUGAGGUGCGAAAGCGUGGGGAGCAAACAGGAUUAGAUACCCCGGUAGUC